CAACCACGACCAAUCUACUUCCGAACAUUCUGAACAUCCGUCCUCUUGAUCGUCUCCAUUCGUCUCCAGUCCUUUCUCCGUUGAACAGCUGUAUGCUACCUAGAUGUCUUAGGAAGGAUAAGAAGAUACCCGUGAAUCCUAAAAAAACACUUAGGAGACACAGGUCAUACGGAGAAAGUUUUAAACUAAACUUUUGUUUCUCAGGCGUGGCUGCACGUGCCACUUUAAAGAUCUAUUCAAUGCUGACUUGAAUCCACGCUUCUCGCACACAACUCGUGCCAGUACUUCCGGCUAGUCGCUGUUGUCGUGCAACGGAUGCUCUUUCAAAGUUUGAAGCGAAACUACACGCACACGGAUAUUUACAUGCGAAUACGCAUACGAAUUUUUCACAAUCUAUCUUCCAGUUAUAUUACUGAUUUCAAUUUAGGUCAACAAAUUUAACAUGCUACAUUUUACCAUGACGUGACAACGUUAUAACAUUAUGCAUUUGAAAAUGAGAAGAAGAAAGUUUAACUACAUCUUAGAGCACAGAAAGAAUCGAAUACAAUAUAGUGCAGUAUCGAAAGAACUUCUGGCCCUUCUUCUGAACCUUCUCUUCUAUUCAUAGAAACACGACAAAAUUUAGUAUCUUUUUUUCUAUUCCUAGGAACUCAAUAUAAAUCAAAUCUGUUUUGAUUUGUGCUAUCGUACAACAGAUAUCCACUUUAUAUCUAUUAACUGUAUCUGAAGGAUUCGACUUCUUGAUUAAGGAAUGUUACUCAAUAAUUGCUAAAACAUAACACGUAAGUUGCACAUUAUAUAAUAGAUUGACGAUAUUAAUAAUAAUGUCACGUUUCCUGUUUCUAAUAGUUGACGUUUCAUUACUUGUGAAGAGACGUAAGAAUAAGUAUAAUAAAAUUGUCAUACCUCGAAAUAAAGCUGGACUGCUGAUGAAUGUCAUUGGAAGUCGAUGGCUCGCAAUUAUAUUCCCUUAAACUAGUUGACCUGUCGAAUCGAGAAAAUAUAUCCUGCGAUGCAUUUGACCAAUGUUACUCGCUCCGAGUUCAUCAUAAUCAACAGGAUCAGACCUACUCUUCCUUGAAAUAUUUUCAAAAGCUGGAUCGUUUAAAUCAGUGUCUGCGUCUUUCCAACAGUUCAGAACUUGCGAGGAACCAUUAUCAUGAUUAUAGAACUUGCUAUAACUGACUCACUAUUUUGGAAAUAUCGAACAACGUUGUGGAAUGUCCAUGCAGUUAACAUGUUUAAACAAUUAUUAUUGUUUGAAGUUGUUGUUUAACUUUGUUGAAUGAAGAAAUACGUAUGAAUGCUGGACCGUUCAGGAAAAUAAGUUACAACUUCACCAAUGACGUUAUAUUAUUAGGAAUCAUUAACAACGUGAUGCUAAAGGCAAUUUACGAGUUCGAUUAUUUAUAAACUAGUCUUACGAUCGUGGAAAUAUCAUGAGAAACAUUACUUGAGAACAGAGGAACACAAAGAUGUUUUCGCAUUGUUCUUCUGAAUGAUGCCUAGUAACAGAAAGAACUUUAAUAUUUGUAUUGGCUAUGACGAUUUUCAUACAUUUUAUUAAUGGAUGUAUGAUUGAGAAUGUAAACAAAAAAGAAGUGAAUUGAAAUUAUUGUCGGAAAACUAUCAAACAAAACUGUAACUGGAAUCGAGCGACUGUCACGGUCGAUACUUUAAGACGAGCCUGUUGCCAGCACACUUGUCUGGGUAACAGGUAACCAGUAACCGGACCUUCUCAGCUGGCUAUGGCUCUACAUAACUCAUUCGUGAAUCACGAACCAGGACAACAGCUUCAGAAUAUUCUUACAGAGCUUCAAAUUAAUCAACAUCCUAAAAAAAGCAACAUUGCCAAAUAGUCUACUUGCUCACAUGCUCGCACAAAAUGAUUUUUUAAUGAAAAUAUUUAAUUUUAUAUUAAAUAUAUAUUAAGUUCUAUAUAUAUUGAUGUUAUUUUCCUGUUUAGUUUAUAUAGAUCUUAUCUCGCAUAAUUUAUAAUAUUCGAUGCAUAUUUAAUUCUUAACAAAAUAAUGAUAAUGAAUGCAAGAAAACAAUAAUUAAUAAUAGAAAAUAAACGA